AGCAGGCAGAUCCAAUUUUCUGCCACCGAAUACAUUAGCAUGGGAUAAUGGAAUAGGACCCUGUCCUCCUAUUUUCAGUUGGUUUUGGCAGCGCGAGGACUAGGGUAAUGAUUAAUAGGGAUAGUUGGGGGCAUUAAUAUUUAAUUGUCAGAGGUGAAAUUCUUGGAUUUAUGAAAGAUUAACUUCUGCGAAAGCAUCUGCCAAGGAUGUUUUCAUUAAUCAAGAACGAAAGUUAGGGGAUCGAAGACGAUCAGAUACCGUCGUAGUCUUAACCAUAAACGAUGCCGACCAGCGAUUAGGAGACGUUGAAUACAAAACACCACCAUCGGCGCGGUCGUCCUUGGCGUCUGUCCUUCACGGGGCCGGCGCGAGGGGGGUUUACCCCGGGGGCCCCGGAAA
rnacentral:rRNA from 1 species